rnacentral:rRNA from 1 species
AUUGAACGCUGGCGGCAGGCUUAACACAUGCAAGUCGAGCGAGAGGCGGAGGGGUGAGAAAUGUCUGGGAAACUGCCUGAAGGAGGGGGAUAAAUACUGGAAACGGUAGCUAAUACCGCAUACCAUCAGAUUUGGCCAGAGGGGCUUAGCUAGUAGGUGGGGUAAUGGCUCACCUGGGCGACGAUCCCUAGCUGGUCUGAGAGGAUGACCAGCCACACGGGAACUGAGAGACGGUCCAGACUCCUACGGGAGGCAGCAGUGGGGAAUAUUGCACAAUGGGGGAAAGCCUAAUGACGCCAUGCCGCUUGUGUGAAGAAGGCUUUGGGGUUGUAAGGCACUUUCUGCGAGGAGGCGUUACUCGCAGAAGAAGCACCGGCUAACUCCGUGCCAGCAGCCGCGGUAAUAC